rnacentral:rRNA from 1 species
GCAUAAUAAAUAGUUUUUUAAUUGAAAACUGGAAUGAAGGGUAGAGAUUGAAAGGAUGGUUUUAUUUAAUGAAUUUGAAUUUAUAUUAAUAGUAAAAAUACUAUUAUGAAAUCUUGGGACGAGAAGACCCUAGAAGCUUAUUAAAUUUAAUUAAUUUUUUAUUGGGGCAAUAAUUGAAGAAGAAAUUUUUAAUGGAGAAUAGAGAUUUGAGAAAGAAGUUACUCUAGGGAUAACAGCGUUAUUUAAUUUAAGAGUUCUUAUUAAUAAUUAGGUUUGCGACCUCGAUGUUGAAUUAAUU